rnacentral:rRNA from 1 species
UACGUAGGGGGCUAGCGUUGUCCGGAAUCAUUGGGCGUAAAGCGCGUGUAGGCGGUCCGGUAAGUCCGCUGUGAAAGUCGGGGGCUCAACCCUCGAAAGCCGGUGGAUACUGUCGGGCUAGAGUACGGAAGAGGCGAGUGGAAUUCCUGGUGUAGCGGUGAAAUGCGCAGAUAUCAGGAGGAACACCAAUUGCGAAGGCAGCUCGCUGGGACGUUACUGACGCUGAGGUGCGAAAGCGUGGGGAGCAAACAGG